UAGGUUUUUUGCAGCUUUUGAGCAUUUUUCUCCCCAAAUUCCAUUAGACAUCAUGAUAAGAUCAUAAUCUUAAAUAUAUUUGGUCAUGAUGAUACUGUAGCAUCACUUGUGUUCGUACUUUUACUUACUUAGAAGAAUACAGGAAACACAGUCUGGACCUCCAGAACUCCUCUUUGGUUACAAGAUCCUCUCUAUUUUUGACAUCUCAAGGUUCACAGGGCCGGUCAGGGCGAUGGAGCCGUGGCUUACCUGGGUGGAUUUCCUUGGAUGGCGGCCUAAUCAUCUGGCCCCCAGUCAGACGCCGGCUGGGCCAAAGCUACGACAGCACAACAGAUGGGCCCUCAAAGGACCCACCACAUCUGCACUACUACAGGAAAGAUGGAGAGGAGGAUGAAGGGGUGGAGGGGGGGUAAAAAGAGACAGGAACUAAUUCCUCUCAUCUUCUGAUUUCACGCAAAUGAGUGCAAGGGAUGUGCAUAACGAGCUGGCGCCGGGCUCUGGCGAGGUAAGCGUAGAUCUGAGUCAUGAAGACGUUUGCUGAGGAUGGAGGGGGAACAAACGAUGCUCCACUCUCAUGCCGAAAGCUCUCAAUUAACAACGAGUAACUUUAAAUGAUUUAAGGGAAUAGAGCGGACGGCGGCGCGUUAUCACAAACAGCCUUGAUGUUGUUUGCUCAGCGCGUCCGGGCCGAAGUUACUCCUCCGUCAACAAAGCGGAACCGAGGCUGUUAAGAAAAGUUCCGCCGACGUUCUGGAUAAUGAGAGCUCUCCAGAAAUUCAAAAGGAGUGAGUGGUAAACUAUGAGCGGCGGCGGCUUUGUGUUCCUGAGAGCUGCCGCUUGUCUCGCCGAUCAGAAGUCUUCAGACUCUUCCUGCCAGCACAGAAUCAACUGGGGAUGUUUUUAACAGCGUCGCUGGCGUUCUGAAAUACUUUGAAAAUACUUUCUGUGCAGACGUAAAAAAAGAAAUAACAAGAGGAAUAAUUAUCAUCGUCGUCACUGAAGACUUGUCAGCUCCAAGUCGUUUAAGCCUGAAACACACCGGUCAUUUCCUGUUCUGAUGUUUUGGAUCACUGGCAUGAGACUAGCGCCACCCGAUGUUAAGGAGGCUUAUUGCAUCUCACGCAAGUGCUGAACGUACAUGCGACUGUGGAGCUGACAGCACGUCGAAACGGUUUGUUCAGUGCAACUUUUCUGCUGAACGGGUCAGACGAGAGGCAACACAGUGGUCGGAUAAAGGCAGGUGGCUGUUGGUUGGAGUCUGGAUGGUGUAUGGGGGCCUUUAGAUUGGACCUUGUGGAUGAUUCUGAUGCUACAGGCUCUUAACUUCUUAUAGACUGUGCAACAACAACAACAACCAUCUGAAGUUUACCCUCAUCUUAAUCCUGGAAAUUGCCGGCGCUGAUCGUCGCCUCUCGCUCAAGACCUCAUCUGUCUCAAGGUUUCUUCAAUGACAUCUUAAAAAUCCCCUCGACAGAAGUGGAAUAAAACAGAGGCAGAGAUGGAGAGAUGGCGAGCGAGGAAUAAAGGAACGGCGAGGCGGGAGAGAGGCGAAGUGCAAACUA